rnacentral:rRNA from 1 species
CACGUAGGGGACGAGCGUUGUCCGGAUUCAUUGGGCGUAAAGGGCUCGUAGGCGGUCUGUUGCGUCGGGAGUGAAAACUCAGGGCUUAACCCUGAGCCUGCUUCCGAUACGGGCAGACUAGAGGUAUGCAGGGGAGAACGGAAUUCCUGGUGUAGCGGUGAAAUGCGCAGAUAUCAGGAGGAACACCGGUGGCGAAGGCGGUUCUCUGGGCAUUACCUGACGCUGAGGAGCGAAAGUGUGGGGAGCGAACAGG